UGUCAAACUCUUCUACUGUUUACCUUACAAAUUAAGGCUAUUAGCAGGUUAGCCGAGGCUAUAUAUUUGCUCAGGGCCAUGAGCAGGUAUUAAUUCACACGUGUUUCCAAUCCUGUCGCUGGUCUCGCAGCAGUGAUGGCCUGUGGUGUGGGUGUUUUCAGUCAAUCCUAGUCUUUGCCCCUUGUGGGCUAUAUGAGGCAAAAUCUCCCACUGUGUGAAUAAGUGUGUGUGUAUGUGUGUGUGGUGUGUGUGGUGUGUGUUUUGUGUGUGUGUAUGUUGUGUGUGUUUGUGUGUGUGUAAAAUUGGGUUACAUUCAUUUAUCAGGCCAAUGCUGGACUUUUAUUGUGAAAAUAUUAGGCAUCACCCAGUCAUGUUGUGCACUUCAGAUAGGGUUGAGGUUCCACAUAAUAUCCAUAAGUUAAAUGUUAUUUUCUUUACAACUUUUAUUAAUUUAAUGUAAUUCUUUUUAUGUCAGUGUAUCAUUGUUUGUUUUUCCUACCACUGAAUACAAGAGGUUCCUUUAAGAGCUGCUAACCCUGAAAUAAAUGUUAUUAGUUUGGAUUCAGUGAGGAUUUUUAGUGUCCCAUGGUGGUGUAAAUACUGUUCCAAAAGUUUUCCAGUCUGUAUUGAAUAAAAUCCAAUGGGAAACUUUGUUUGGACAUGAAAAUGGUCUCAUUUUAAGAUACUGGCACAAACCAUCCAUGACAUAAUUCUAAAACUACCUGUACUGGCCUCCAAAGGCACAUAUUUGUCGAUCCUUGGAUGUGAUGACAUGUGAAAUGAAGAGGAGAAUAAAAAGAGGUGAAGAGGUCAGAACGUGUUUUCUGAAGCAGCAGCAGACAGUGAACCUGCUCUGUGAUCUGAAGCUCUCCACACUGUGACCUGAGGACCUAAAGGUGCUGCCACCACCCUUUCUAAGGUCACAGGAGUUGCAGGGUGCAGCAGGAGAACAGCGACCUCUACUGGUAGGUGCUGAAAGGGAUGUUUGAAUGUAUGCAUUCGUGCAUAUACAGUGUGUGUGUGUGUGUGUGUGUGCAAAAGCCUGUAAGUACAGCGAGUGAUUCCCACUAAUGCAGUGAUGGUUUACAUGUUCGACCUGUGAUGUGCUGCUCAUACUGGAUGCAAACACAUAUAUACACUGGUAGUCAGUUGUGGAAUGUAACUAUAUACGUUUACUCAAUUACUUUGGAAGUACAAAUUCAAGUUACUGUACACUUUAUUCGAGUAUUUCGAUUUCAUGCUACUUUAUGCUUCUACUUUACUGCAAUACUUUAUUCCAUGACAUCUGUAUGACAGCUUUACUCACUUUUUAGCUCACUAUUUUCCAUACUAUUCCUGUCCAGUGAAAACCAUGUAUCUCCAAAUUUGGUGAUUUUGAAUGUUUGUGAUAAACUGAAGGGUUAAAUAUUCUUUUAUGGGUUGAGAAAAUUCCCCCACUUCUUAAGAUAAAUAAACUAUUUAAAAACCCUGUUGGAUUAGUUGGAAAAUGCAUCGUCACAAAGCUGAUAACGGGGCUGUUCUGCUGAGCUCAGAUGACUUCUUAGAGAUAUGUGGUUCUCACAGGACAGCGACGCUACAAACAUAUGAUGAUCUUAUAGAAGAUGAUUCAGUGCUGCAGAUUAAACGACCCAACAGUAGACGGGACCUUUAAGACAUGUGGUACAUAUUCAAACAGUGUGUGUUUACAAUAUAAUAAAAAUAACUGACACUUAACUGACACAUAGAAAUCAUAGUCACAGGUACUGAGUACUGGUAUGUUUCUUGAUGUCAGGGCAAAUAAUGAAACUGUCAGUACAGUAUAAUGUUCAGUUUGCACUGUACAUUUACAUUUUUGCCUCCUAACAACAUAUUGUGCCAGUGUUAACUGAAAGCAUGUAUUUAUUAUUGUGUUUGUUUAUUUAACAGGGACAUUGCACUACUCCAGACUAUAAACUAGUAAUUUCCAUCUGCACUCCCUGAGCGGAGGCCACUAGGACGGAGCAGUAAAAUAUAUCAGUCCAUUGUGGUGAAUUAAAACAUCACAGUUUGAGAGCAGAUACAAUGAAACAUCAAUAUUACAGUUUUAAAAAAAGGUUAAAAUACAGCUACAGGUGGCUGUGAAGAGCUACAAAAUCUUCUGCUACUUCUUUUUAUUGUUGCUUUUACUUCAUAGCUCUUUUCUCUGCUAUAAUUGAGCUGAAAUUCCUCCUCCUCUCAGUGUACAUACCCGAUUUUAUUUGUCUACUGAAAGCAUGUUUGAAAUUCUGAACUGUUUGCUUGACAUUUAUCUGCCUGCAAAUAAAUAGCGUGUCUCCCCAGCAGCUCUGGAGUCAAGCGUUAUUGCUGCUCGGUGUCAGUCAUAUUUAGCUCUUGCCCAAUAGGAAUCUGGUGACCUCUGCAUAUUUUGCACUCAACGGGGUCAUCGGCUGCGCCUCCGGGGAGCCGUUCUGCUCUCCGUCUCCUCUCACGCUGGGAAGUGGAGUUCCCAAGCAUUUCCCCCGACUGUGGUCCAGAACAAUCCCAUGUCGAGACUGGCUUCAGCCGCCCGCUCAGUGUGGACAUGACGCAUGGCCGGGACAAUAGGAGGAUACAGAGGCAUGCUGUAUGGGUGCAAAUACCUCCCCCCCACCUUUGUCAUGACGACAGGGUUAGAUAGGUUGUUAUACAGUCUAGUGUCGAUUUCCUGAAUUUUAUGUUGUGACACCUUAGGCCAGCUGUUUUGCCUUGUUAAAAGUGAUGACCCACGCUGCAGCAACCAACGUGGAGCUCUAACCCCGAUAAUAUAGAAAAUAUGUUGCCUGUGGAUCAGAUCUACGGAGAGUCACGCUAGAAACUGACCAGAGCCGAGCGUUUUUCUGUGUUGCCUGUGUGUCGUGACAUCUGUUGAAAUCAUAGGCCCCGUUUUCAGCAGGACCCUGUUCCCCCCGUCCUGUUUGCAGUUGCCGUGGUGACGGGGCAGGAGGCAGAGCAGGGUUUGGUCCAAGCUCGCUGGGACUGAAGAGGAGGCGGUGGUUUGGACGGGAUGGACUGCAUUCAGUUCCAGGGCUUUCCAGAACCUCCCAGGGGCUUCAUUAAAACAAAGGGAGGAGGAGGAGGAGGAGGAGGUGGGACUUCCUGUUGGAAUGUUACAGGCCAACCGUGACCCCAUAGGAACUGCAACUUUUAAUGUGGACAGAAGGACUACAGUCACACUGCAAUUAUAUCGUGUGUAUCUAUUACAGAGGUUCUCCAUCGUGCAACAGUAACAGCCUGUGUCGUCUUUUCUAACAACCUAAUGCAACACAAACCGAACAGAUUAUUCUUCUUUUCAAGUGACCGUUAUACUAGUAACCAAUAAAAAAACUGCAACAACA